GAGCCCAGCCCUCCAGGGCACUGACUCCACUCUGGGGGGCUUCAUCUGACUCUGAAGUGAGUCUUGGGCACGGAAUAUGAAGCCUUUCACUGCUAGGGCCUCCAGGCCACGCCCACGCUGACGUGACAGCCGCGCCGGGAGUGGUAUCCCCACAGCACGCAGCUGGGUCACCUCGGGUCCGGCCGAUGUGCCUGCAGCCCCAGGUGCUUGGCUGUGGGAAGGGGCCAAAGCGGCAGAUCCUCAAGCGUAGAGCAGAGACAGCAGUGGAGUAGCAUGUCCCGUUCUGGGCAUGGAAGAGUCCAGCUGUCAGGGCCAUUAGUGUAACAGCUUCUACCAGUCUGACUAUACUGAAUUCAGUUCCCCCAAGCCUUGAAUUUAGGGAUGUUUAAACCCUCAGAGCAGCUGCUCUCUUGCUGAGCUCUCGCUAAGCCGUAUGUAUAACACUGCUCCUGAAUGGAUCCAUCUGCAGGGAUUGAACCUGCGAUCUCUGGCUCUAGAAACGUGGCUGUGACUGUCUGAGCUGACGGACCAAGUCUGUUAGCUUACCCGGUAACACUCGUAAACCUGUGUACGCGGUGUCACCCCUAAGGGAGACGAAGUCGCACCGUUAACACAGGUCACAUGUGGCAGG